CGUAAGAUGACUGUAGGUGAAAGCUUUACCAUCUCUUCGGAGCAUUUUACGAGGUGCUGCAUGGUUGUCGUCAGCUCGUGCCGUGAGGUGUCGGGUUAAGUCCCAUAACGAGCGCAACCCCUACCUUUUAGUUGCCAUCAGGUAAUGCUGGGGACUCUAAAGGAACUGCCUACGCAAGUAGUGAGGAAGGCGGGGAUGACGUCAAAUCAGCACGGCCCUUACGUCCAGGGCUACACACGUGCUACAAUGGCCGAUACAGAGGGCAGCUACCUGGUGACAGGAUGCAAAUCUCCAAAGUCGGUCUCAGUUCGGAUUGCAGUCUGCAACUCGACUGCAUGAAGUUGGAAUCGCUAGUAAUCGCGGAUCAGCCAAGCCGCGGUGAAUACGUUCCCGGGCCUU
rnacentral:rRNA from 1 species